UAGUGGCGACGGGUGAGUAACACGUGGGCAAUCUGCCCUUCACUCUGGGACAAGCCCUGGAAACGGGGUCUAAUACCGGAUAAUACUCCUGCCUGCAUGGGUGGGGGUUAAAAGCUCCGGCGGUGAAGGAUGAGCCCGCGGCCUAUCAGCUUGUUGGUGGGGUAAUGGCCCACCAAGGCGACGACGGGUAGCCGGCCUGAGAGGGCGACCGGCCACACUGGGACUGAGACACGGCCCAGACUCCUACGGGAGGCAGCAGUGGGGAAUAUUGCACAAUGGGCGAAAGCCUGAUGCAGCGACGCCGCGUGAGGGAUGACGGCCUUCGGGUUGUAAACCUCUUUCAGCAGGGAAGAAGCGAAAGUGACGGUACCUGCAGAAGAAGCGCCGGCUAACUACGUGCCAGCAGCCGCGGUAAUACGUAGGGCGCAAGCGUUGUCCGGAAUUAUUGGGCGUAAAGAGCUCGUAGGCGGCUUGUCACGUCGGAUGUGAAAGCCCGAGGCUUAACCUCGGGUCUGCAUUCGAUACGGGCUAGCUAGAGUGUGGUAGGGGAGAUCGGAAUUCCUGGUGUAGCGGUGAAAUGCGCAGAUAUCAGGAGGAACACCGGUGGCGAAGGCGGAUCUCUGGGCCAUUACUGACGCUGAGGAGCGAAAGCGUGGGGAGCGAACAGGAUUAGAUACCCUGGUAGUCCACGCCGUAAACGUUGGGAACUAGGUGUUGGCGACAUUCCACGUCGUCGGUGCCGCAGCUAACGCAUUAAGUUCCCCGCCUGGGGAGUACGGCCGCAAGGCUAA
rnacentral:rRNA from 1 species